UACAGCGGAUUGUCAAAAGCAACUUCGUGAUGUGCCAAGCGGAUGAUUUGCAAAAUUCCUAAAUAUUACUUAUUCUAAAUAUUUCAAUUCUAAAUUGUUACUCUAAACAUCUUAAUUCUAAAAGUGAAUUUAUUCUACCUAUAUAAAUACUUAAAUUUGGAACUGACACAGUUCAUAGUGGAACUAAAACUUAGAUCUCUGAAGUGUCUUAGAACAUUCUUGAGUAAAAGUAGUUAGUUCAGUCUUAGGUGGUCUGGUUGAGCAGAUUGGAAUCAGAGUAGAUAGGACACCGAACGUGUAAGUGUUACGAAACAAUGAAAUUUAACCUAACUAAUUGCAAAAUAUACUUAUAGUUUAAAGCGUUCCCUCAUACAACCAAUCGUGUUUGAGUUGCUGAAAACCCGGUGACCGAUCCCAAGUUCUGCUCCCCGAUAACACAGCUUUAAAACGUUCGUUAUGAAUGCGUCGAACAGGUCUAGAACGCCAGAGCCUACCGAACAGGGAGACUGCGUACAUUGCUCGCGCCCCAAUACAUAUGACAAUUUUGUACAAUGCGACCAAUGCAAUAGCUGGUGGCAUAUGCGCUGCGCGGGUGUAACCGCUUCGAUAGCCGAGCGACCAUGGACUUGUCAAACUUGCUUGCCUUUGAGCGUGGUUACAUCGACCAGUACGUCUCGAAUCGCUUUACGAUUGCAGCAGCUAGAGGAAGAGCGCGCUAUCCAAC